rnacentral:rRNA from 1 species
UUAACGAACAGCUAUCAUUUUAAUAAGUUAAUGUGGUAGUCUAUCGUUUCUUUUACUUUGAGAAAAUUAGAGUGUUCAAAGCAGGUUUUUGCCCGAAUAUUACUCUUGGAAUAAUACUAUAGGACCUUAGACUUAUUUGAUGGUGAGUAGGACUGAGGUAAUGAUUGAUAGGGACGGUUGGGGUCAUUCGUACUGUAAAGUGAGCGGUGAAAUGCUUGGACCUUUAUAUGACGUUCCACUGCGAAAGCAUUUGACUAGGACGUUCCCGUUGAUCAAGAACGAAAGUUGGGGGAUCGAAGACGAUCAGAUAGCGUCGUAGUCUCAACCAUAAAUUAUGCCAGCUAGGGAUUGGAAUUGUUCUCAAUAUGAUAUUUCCAGCACCUUAUGAGAAAUCAAAAGCAUUUGGGUUCCGGGGGGAGUAUGGUCGCAAGGCUGAAACUUAAAGGAAUUGACGGGAGGGCACCACCAGGAGUGGAGCCUGCGGCUUAAUUUGAUUCAAUACGGGAAAACUUACCAGGUCCGGACAAAGUAAGGAUUGGCAGAUUGAAAGCUUUUCUUGAUUCUUUGGGUGGUGGUGCAUGGCCGUUCUUAGUUGGUGGAGUGAUUUGUCUGGUUAAUUCCGUUAACGAACGAGACCUCAGCCUGCUAAAUAGUGUUUUCAUCUUUGGAUGCUUAUACUUCUUAGAGGGGGACUACUUAUGCUAUAACUGAGCGGAAGCUUGAGGCAAUAACAGGUCUGUGAUGCCCUUAGAUGUUCUGGUCCGCACGCGGGCUACACUGGUGAUCUCAACAAGCCUUCACUUGGUUGAAAAGCCAGGUUAAUCUUUGAAAUAUCACCGUGCUUGGGAUAGACUAUUGCAAUCUUUAGUCUUCAACAAGGAAUUCCUAGUAAACGCGAGUUAUCAGCUCGCAUUGAUUACGUCCCUGCCCUUUGUACACACCGCCCGUCGCUCCUACCGAUUGGAUGAUUCGGUAAGCAUUUGAGAUCUGGUCUGACUCUCCUAACGGAGCUUCUGACUGGAGAACUUAUCAAACCUAAUC